rnacentral:rRNA from 1 species
CCCUAUCCGGCGCGGGCGGAGGAUAUUUGAGAGGAGCUGCCCCUAGUACGAGAGGACCGGGGUGGACGGACCACUGGUGUAUCAGCUGUCGACCAACGGCAUAGCUGAGUAGCCAAGUCUGGACGGGAUAAACGCUGAAGGCAUCUAAGCGUGAAGCCCCCCUCAAGAUGAGAUAUCCCCUCCUUCAAGGAGAUAAGAUCCCUUAAAGACGAUAAGGUAGAUAGGUUCAAGGUGUAAGUGCGGUAACGCAUUCAGCUGAUGAAUACUAAUAGAUCGAAGGUUUAUUCU